rnacentral:rRNA from 1 species
AAGUCGUAACAAGGUUUUCGUAGGUGAACCUGCGGAAGGAUCAUUCAUAAUUGAGUGUUUUAUGGCACUCUUUAAAAAAUCCAUAUCCACCUUGUGUGCAACGUUUUUAGACACCCUGGCGCUGAUAUCUCUUUUAAGAGAAGGAAAGCCAGGAUGUUUGAUUAACUUAACUCAACUCCUUUAAAACAGUUUGUCUGAAUACCUAUUCCUGAAUAACAUAAUUCAAAAAUACAACUUUCAACAACGGAUCUCUUGGCUCUCGCAUCGAUGAAGAACGCAGCGAAAUGCGAUACGUAAUGUGAAUUGCAGAAUUCAGUGAAUCAUCGAAUCUUUGAACGCACAUUGCGCUCUCUGGUAUUCCGGAGAGCAUGCUUGUUUGAGUAUCAGUAAACACCUCAACUCCCUUUCUUUUUUGAAAUGGGAGCUGGAACUUGAGUGAUCCCAACGCUUUUCUCACCGAAAAGUGGCGGGUUACUUGAAAUGCAGGUGCAGCUGGACUUUUCUCUGAGCUAAAAGCAUAUCUAUUUAGUCUGCCUAAAAACAGAUUAUUACCUUUGCUGCAGCUAACAUAAAGGAGAUUAGUUCUUGUGCUGACUGAUGCAGGAUUCACAGAGACAGCUUCAGCUGGCUUUGUAAACUCGAUCUCAAAUCAAGUAAGACUACCCGCUGAACUUAA